rnacentral:lncRNA from 1 species
GGAGACGCAGACCGACGCGCAAGAGGCGACCGCGGCUGCCUCGGCUCCCAGCUCUGUUAACUGCGCGGAGUACUUUCGACUUUGGAGAUAGGAGGGCGAUCGCCUCCCCCACCCACCGCCUCCGCCCACCACCCACCGCCUCCGCCCCUCCGAGCAACUUUUCCCGGUGCCUGCGAGCUCCCCCUCCGCGCCGAGCCGAACGUCCCGGCCCGCCGCGCUUCGUGCCGCCGCGCGCGCAGGGAAGGCCGCUUCUCCUUCAAAGCUGGCACGGCCGCGAGUCCGGAACAAUAGUCGGGGUGUCCCGAAUGCCAGGAGCACGGCCACUGCCCGCCGGGCUGUGGGUGGCACAGGAAUGGGGGUUGCGUGGUGGAUGCAGAGCGGGGUGCAUCCCUGGAUGGCAUCGCUGGAGCGCUCGCCGCUCCGGCGACAUCGCGAGCGGUGCAAACCGGGCCGCCUGGAGCCCGUGACGCGGUGGCGGCGAGGGCGGUGGGGCUGCCUGUCCUCGGGCUACAGGACUGGGGCUCCUGGGGACCCCAAGCUGCUCGAGCCCAGGGCUGCUGGCGCCAACAGAGCUGUGCCCUGAGGACCCGGCCUCCCCGCCCGGGGGGAGGCCGCACAGGAGCGUCCCCAGCAGGUCCCGCGAAGGCGUAACAGAGCCACAAACUUUUGCCGACUCCCGCGGCCGCGGCCGCCGGCAGCCCGACUCCGGCCGCGGUGCUCAUUUAAGGUGGCGCGGGCACUAGCCGAGCAGGCUGGCCUCUGGCCGCGCUUUUGUCCCUGCGAUUCCGCUUGGGCGCGCUGCCUCCUUAAGGAAAAGCACGUGGGCAGGGGCCGCAGCCCCCGCGAGAUACCCGGGGCGUCGGCGGACAUUAGCCGCUAGGACCUUAGGCGAGAAAAUGUGGACGCAUCCCCGCCGGCCCUGAGGCCAGAGAAUCCCCCCUCAACUGGUUGCACCUCAUGUCCCUCCCGCACACGUUGACUCUCCCUCCUAAUCCCCAGGACCCCGAGGGCUCUCCCACAUCUCCCGCAGCAAGAGCCACCGAUCCCCCUUAAGAAGCGUUGACUGUACGGCGGCGCCAGAGGGCCAAACUAAGUUCGGUUUCGGGAAACGCUCUCGGGAGCAGUUCUGUAAAUCCCUGCUGGGAGCAGAGACUGCGAAAAGCUGAGUCCGCCGAUCGUGCCCGGGACAAGGCUGCCUUCCACUCGCCCUCGCCGCAUCUACCUGGUAGGCGGCAUGCGCACGGGCUUAGAGGCUUGAGAGCCUCUGGAAGAGAAAGGGUCCCAGGAAGGAAACCUGCCCCCGGCCUAAGUGUCGGCGCCCAGAUCACCACGAACCCCGCACCUAGGCGCCGCCCACCAAGUUCCAAAGAAGUCCGAGGCGACCUGGGAGUCGGUCGGAUCCCAGCCGAGAAAAGAAACAAGCAGGAUAGCAAUUCUUAGGGGAGCCACCCUGGGAGUUUUAGGCAGCGUUUGCCUUUCCCUGGUUUUCUUCACCAAGCCCCAUCCUCCCCCCGCAUACCACCCCCAGUCAAAAGAGUGGGAGAAAAUGCACAGUUCGAAGUCGGUGAGAGCAAAAAUGGGUCUAGUAAAUCAACCCGUGGUGGUAGCUAAAAGGUUUGGGGCUGCAAAGAAACAAACUGUAAGUUUUGAGCAACAAACUUUUUCUUCAAUCUGUAAUAUGUCGAAAUGGGAAGGGGGUGUUGCAAAAGCCAACUACCACUGUCAAACUUAGCCCGUUUACAACAUGGGGAAAGGCGUAUUUCUUACUAAUAUCUCAACAACGAUAACAAUGCUGUAUCCUUCCUUACCUUGAUGUUGAACUGCGAAUCCUCCUCCGGAUCAAUGUCCAGGAACUUAGAAGAAUUGGUGAUAUUAGGAGUUCAGUACUUCUGGAAAAAAAUGCAAAUGGUUUAGCCAGGAUCUUUCCUGUCUGAUUCGUCACUAUUAUUAUAUCUGAUGAUGCGAAUGGUUGGAGCGAUUCAAUCCUAAGUCAUUAAUGAGCUAUUUUAUAAACACCACUGUCUGAAGAUCUUCAUUUACAUUUUGCUAAGGAUCACUUCGCUAACCUCACAGGCUUGUGUCAACAGCAUGAUUUGCAGGACUUCAGUUACACUCUUAUAAACAACACGGCUGUAUUGUUAAUCGGUUAAUAUUUUAUAAAGUGUAAAUAUUUUAUUAUGUUUUGAAGGGAACUAUUGAUUCUAAAUUAUUAAACCCCUGAGAAGGACUAUUUAAAUGAAAUAUACAAUUAAGUACAAUUAAAUGUACAUUGUGGUUAGUUUGUUUUCAGAUUCUGCACCCUUUUAAAUUCAUUGCUUUUCUCUUUACUGGAGUUUCCUCUUGUCCAUUUCUGAUACUGAAAAAAAUCUAUCAUGUUAGGAAAAAGCCUAAAUUAUUUAAAGUUGCAUUAAACUUAGAGGAAAAUGUCAAAUACGAUUAAUUAUGACCAGAAAUGUAUUUUGGAUGUUUGUAGAGUUGUAUUUCAUAUCACAUUUUACAAAUUUCUUCCGAUUUAAAGGAGAGUUCUAGGAAGUUUUGUGAUCUAUGUCCGGUGUGGGUUUUUGUCCUCUCGAGUUUUGUCUCUAAUAAAGGCCUUUUUUGUUUCAAAUUACAUACGCUUUUUACUGCACAAUUUUUGUAUUGACCUUAUUUCAACUGAAGCGAUUAUUUCCAGCAGGUUUAAUUUCGACAAUAAGAUAUAUUUUAAUAGUUUUACCUUUCGCUAGAAUUUUGUAUUGUUUAAAACAGUAAAUGAAUAAAUUUGCUGAUGAUUCAAGAAUAUUUGUUUGGUUUCGUUUUGUAUCCCUCAAAAGGUUUAUUUCCAAACUUUUUAAAACAAAAUCACGAGAAAAGAGUUGUUUUAAUUACGUUUGAUUUUUAAAAAUACUUUUAUCUAAAACCCAUUUUGUGCAUUAGGAGAUAGUUUGCUUCCAUGCUCAAAACAUGGAGUUCACAUCUGGGGGACAUUUUUAUCCCUCAGUUUCCUUCUAACUGACGUUUUUGUCGGGAAUCUGCUCAGACUUUUCCCCUUUUCUUCACCCACCUCCCAAGUUUUCCUUAUGUAAUUUAGUAAAAGGCCGCCUGUUUUUCACAAACACGGAUUUGUUAUUUUAAAAAUCAAUAGAUCUUUAUAUGCUAGUGUUAAAGGUGUAUGGUUUUUCUUAUUUCCAUCUUCUCUCCUUUUCUCUCUGUCAGGCCUUCUUUUAUGGCCUGCACUCUAAUGACGUUUCUUGAUUUCUCUUUGUCGACACCAAGUUUUUGUUGUGCGUGCUUUCGACCCUGGUCAACCUUCCUUCCUAGAGGCCCGCUCCGGACAGCGUAGGCCUGGGCGCCUGGGUGGAGGGUGCAGGGUGCCGGGCGCGGGACUUCGGCUCUCGCCUGGGCCAUCCCGGGCUCUGAGGGCCCGGCAUCCAUCCCCAAGGUCCAUGGCUUUCAAGUUCGGUCACCCAGGCAGAGAGACCCUGCCUUUUAAAGAGCCCUGGAAAGUUGCGCCGCGUUUUCCCUCAACCCUGGAACACGCAGGGAAAACUAUGGGAAUCGCCCGCGUCAAAAGCUUUCGACGGCUUCUAGGAACCCAAGCGGGCCUGCCUCUUCCCCUGGAGCUUGCCCUCCUGGGGGCGGGAGGAGGGCGGGAGGGAAUCAUUUCUUUCAAAUGAAGCCCACGCCAGCUCUGAAGCCAAUUUCCGCCGCGGACUGUCCGUGGAGAGUUGGCGACCAACACUUUCUCGGACGGCAUAACCGCGAGGGGCUUAGACUGGAAAUCAGAUGCGCCAAGAGGACAAGAGCCAGGGGCCAGAAUACCCCAGUGGGGGACGCGCCUUGGAGGACGGUUCGCCCAGGGUGGGCUUCAGCCCUUUCCCAGAGUGCUCCGGGCGUCUGGGGACUGACCGGAGCGCAGGGCGGGGGACACUUACUUCGUUAUCCGCACGCCUUCCUCGUUGGCAUCAGAGCCGGACAAAUCCCAACCCGCGCCAGGCAAAGAUAAAUGACUCCUGGCUCCCCCGGCAGCUCAGGGGGUCUGGGCGGGGGCGGAGAGGGAAGGAAGCCGUCGGCCGCCGGAGGUAGAGACUGUGGAGGUCCUCCUCCCGGCCCCAAGCGAAUGAGCCCCUGCGGCCCGAGCAGAGAGAUACGCCUCAGAGGGACGACUGAUGGGGAAGGAUGGUGGGCAACGAGUCUGCGCUAGGCG